AAAAAAAGGGGCGCGCGGCGACACCGCGGUAAUACGUAGGGUGCAAGGGUUAUCUGGAAUUAUUGGGCGUAAAGGGCUCGUAGGCGGUUCGUCGCGUCCGGUGUGAAAGUCCAUCGCUUAACGGUGGAUCCGCGCCGGGUACGGGCGGGCUUGAGUGCGGUAGGGGAGACUGGAAUUCCCGGUGUAACGGUGGAAUGUGUAGAUAUCGGGAAGAACACCAAUGGCGAAGGCAGGUCUCUGGGCCGUUACUGACGCUGAGGAGCGAAAGCGUGGGGAGCGAACAGGAUUAGAUACCCUGGUAGUCCACGCCGUAAACGGUGGAUGCUGGAUGUGGGGCCCGUUCCACGGGUUCCGUGUCGGAGCUAACGCGUUAAGCAUCCCGCCUGGGGAGUACGGCCGCAAGGCUAAAACUCAAAGAAAUUGACGGGGGCCCGCACAAGCGGCGGAGCAUGCGGAUUAAUUCGAUGCAACGCGAAGAACCUUACCUGGGCUUGACAUGUUCCCGACGGUCGUAGAGAUACGGCUUCCCUUCGGGGCGGGUUCACAGGUGGUGCAUGGUCGUCGUCAGCUCGUGUCGUGAGAUGUUGGGUUAAGUCCCGCAACGAGCGCAACCCUCGCCCCGUGUUGCCAGCGGAUUAUGCCGGGAACUCACGGGGGACCGCCGGGGUUAACUCGGAGGAAGGUGGGGAUGACGUCAGAUCAUCAUGCCCCUUACGUCCAGGGCUUCACGCAUGCUACAAUGGCCGGUACAACGGGAUGCGACGCGGCGACGCGGAGCGGAUCCCUGAAAACCGGUCUCAGUUCGGAUCGCAGUCUGCAACUCGACUGCGUGAAGGCGGAGUCGCUAGUAAUCGCGAAUCAGCAACGUCGCGGGAAUGCUCCCCGGUCCCG
rnacentral:rRNA from 1 species